GUUUAUAUUAUUAAAGGGACACUCCAGGCUCCCACACACGUUAGAUGCACUGUGUAGGUUAGGUUACUGUUAGUUAUACUGGGUGGGUUUAUAUUAUUAAAGGGACACUCCAGGCUCCCACACACAUUAGAUGCACUGUGUAGGUUAGGUUACAGUUAGUUAUACUGGGUGGGUUUAUAUUAUUAAAGGGACACUCCAGGCUCC